UGUUCACCCACCAAUAGGGAA
rnacentral:snRNA from 1 species